rnacentral:rRNA from 1 species
ACACGACUACAUUAGAUACCCCGGUAGUCCCAGCCCUAAACGAUGCGCGUUAGGUGUAUCGGUGACCACGAGUCACCGAGGUGCCGAAGGGAAACCGUGAAACGUGCCGCCUGGGAAGUACGGUCGCAAGGCUGAAACUUAAAGGAAUUGGCGGGAGCACAACAACGGGUGGAGCUUGCGGUUUAAUUGGAUUCAACGCCGGAAAUCUUACCGGGACCGACAGCAACAUGAAGGCCAAGCUGAAGACUUUGCCGGAUUAGCUG